CAAGUGAUGAAAGAAAACAAGUGUUUCCAAGAAAUGUGUCAAAUGUAAGGAGGCGACUGCAGCCGUGGUCAUCAGAGCGGGACAUUCAUACUGCAGGGGAUGUUUCAAAGAAUACUUCAUCCAUAAGUUCAGAGCCAUGUUAGGUAAAAACAGGAUCAUCUUCCCUGCAGAGAAGGUGAGCUGUGUGCC